UACAGAGGCGGCAAGCGUUGUUCGGAUUUAUUGGGUGUAAAGGGCAGGUAGGUGGUCAUGUAAGUCCGCUGUGAAAUCCUAGGGCUCAACCCUAGAACUGCAGUAGAAACUACACGACUUGAGUAUCAGAGAGAUGAGGGGAAUUCUCGGUGUAAGGGUGAAAUGCGUUGAUAUCAUCAGGAACACCGGAGGCGAAGGCGGCUCACUGGGUAUCUUCUGACGCUGAGGUACGAAAGCUAGGGGAGCGAACGGG
rnacentral:rRNA from 1 species